GUGCAUUCUGGGAGUUUCUGCGAGGACAGUGAACGAAGGGCAAGGCCCUGGACCGGGGGAUGGUUGCCCCCAGCGAAGGCUGCCCAGCAGGGCACUACAAUCACCCCCACCCUGGGGACUUUUGCGGCUGCAGGCAAUAGUAGGGGGAGUCCGUGAGGGGGCGGAGGGAAGGGAGGCCAGGAAGAGACACUCUUGGAACCUCAGUCUCCCCAGUCUGCCUGCCCCAAAAGAGUGGCUGUGAGGGGCAAAGGUGACAUAGAAGGACAGGGCUCAGGACCGGCUGCCUCCAUCCACAGCCCAGCGGUCUCAGGAGAGGACCAGGUUCCAGCCCAUCCCUCUCCUCCCUGAGCCUGGCUAAAGUGCCAAGCCUGCUGCCCCUGACCUCAUCCCUCUCCAUGCCCCUCAGUCUGGUGUCCCCUUCUCUGAGGAACCAGCUUGGCCCAGAACAAAGUCCAGAGCCGCCAGCACAGCAAUAGUGCAGGAGGGGGGCCCUGCUCUGGAGUCAGAGAGACCUCUGUGCGAUCUUGGUUCCUCUACCCGCUGAGCAAGUGAAAUGACACCUCUGAACCUCAGGUUCUUCCUCUGUGCCUUGUGGGACUGAAUGUUGGGGUAAGAGAAGUAACAUUUAUAAGGUGCUUCUCACAGAGCUAGGCCUUCCUGGCAAGUGCUCAGUAAACCACUGUGUGUGUGUGUGUGUGUGUGUGUGUGUGUGUGUGUUUACAUGAGUGCAGAGCUCAGGGUGCCAAGUGCUCCUGGUAUACACAGGAGCUUCUUGAAUCUGGACAGAUUUCUUUUCCAAGCUCAGCCGGACAUCCCUGGGUCUUGGGGUAGGACCAAGCUAGAGCCCAAGAAAGCUCCUAAGGGAGGAAGGUGGUA